GGUGCGAUACCCAAGUGGUUAAGGGGCCAGUUUUAGGUCUUCUAAACGCACUGGUGCUUCGGCGCGUGAGUUCGAACCUCACUCGCAUCA